rnacentral:rRNA from 1 species
UACCAGCACCCCGAGUGGUCGGGACGAUUAUUGGGCCUAAAGCAUCCGUAGCCGGUCUUGCAAGUCUUCCGUUAAAUCCACCUGCUUAACAGAUGGGCUGCGGAAGAUACUACAAGACUAGGAGGCGGGAGAGGCAAGCGGUACUCAGUGGGUAGGGGUAAAAUCCUCUGAUCCAUUGAAGACCACCAGUGGCGAAGGCGGCUUGCCAGAACGCGCUCGGACGGUGAGGGAUGAAAGCUGGGGGGAGCAAACCGG